UCUGUAGGGAGGGUAGAGGGAGGGAGGAGGGGAUGGAGGGAGCGAGGAGGGAGGGAGACAGAGACACACACACAACACACACACACACACACACACAGAGAGAGACAGAGAGAGCUGUGAUGCGAUAUGUUUCAUCUCUCCGCCAGCUGUACGGUAGAGGGUAGGAUAGAGAGGUAGAAGGGCUGGGGACCUGAAGUAUGCGCCAGGCGGGGUAGGGGGGAGCACCGUCUCAGUGGCGCCUGGUGGGAGGGUCGAGUCGGAGAUAGGACCAGCCACUGCGAGGUUGGGAACCCCAGCCGGAGGGCGCUAUCUUCAGCAUCUCUCAAGGUGAAAGCUCUUUGAAGCUUGAGAGCUUGGGGACCCUUCGGGUUCCCCCGAGGCUCCCUUUAAAAAGUGGGGAAGUGCUACGUUAUCACCCUCGCCGGUCCCCCAAUACCCAGAAGAAGCUACCGAUUGCUGUCGGAUCUGAUUUGCCAGGUACCGUCCAAGCUAAAUCCCCAAAGAUACACAAACCUUGGAGUCCGAAAUGCUGUAUUUUUCCUGUCAGUCAGUGCUUCGGACACAGCUGGCUAAGCAGAACCGAGAAAGCUGCAGGAUCUAAUCUGGCAGCUGUGUUCUGGAAGAGGAGAAGGGAAGAGAGAGGAGAAAACACAGACCCACCGCCGGAGAUCACGGAAGACCAGAGCAGAUAUAAGCAAACCUUGAUUAAAAGCUGCCUGACAGCCCACGGCAGCAGCAAGCAGCAGGCAAGGAAGCUCUUCAAGUCCAAAGGGAGUCGCAGUGGCGGCUCCCGCCACGGCCAGGCUCUCAGAUGUCCCUGAUCCUUUAAUCAAUCACAGCCGAGGAGGGGAAGAGCGAACGCCCAUCUGAGGCGAGGAGGUAUGUUCCUGCAUUCAUUGCUACUGCCCUGGGAGCUCUGGAGGCCCUAAUGACACGUUAUCGGG
rnacentral:lncRNA from 1 species